GAUAUGCGAUAAUUAAUGUGAAUUGCAGAAUUCAGUGAAUCAUCGAGUCUUUGAACGCACAUUGCGCCCCCUGGUAUUCCGGGGGGCAUGCCUGUCCGAGCGUCAUUGCUGCCCUCAAGCACGGCUUGUGUGUUGGGCUUCCGUCCCUGGCAACGGGGACGGGCCCAAAAGGCAGUGGCGGCACCAUGUCUGGUCCUCGAGCGUAUGGGGCUUUGUCACCCGCUCCCGUAGGUCCAGCUGGCAGCUAGCCUCGCAACCAAUCUUUUUAACCAGGUUGACCUCGGAUCAGGUAGGGAUACCCGCUGAACUUAAGC
rnacentral:misc_RNA from 1 species